GAUGAAGAACGUAGCGAAAUGCGAUAAGUAAUGUGAAUUGCAGAAUUCAGUGAAUCAUCGAAUCUUUGAACGCACAUUGCGCCCGCCAGCAUUCUGGCGGGCAUGCCUGUUCGAGCGUCAUUUCAACCCUCGAGCCCCCCCGGGGGCCUCGGUGUUGGGGGACGGCACACCAGCCGCCCCCGAAAUGCAGUGGCGACCCCGCCGCAGCCUCCCCUGCGUAGUAGCACAUACCUCGCACCGGAGCGCGGAGGCGGUCACGCCGUAAAACGCCCAACUUUCUUAGAGUUGACCUCGGAUCAGGUAGGAAUACCCGCUGAACUUAAGCAUAUCAAUAAGCGGAGGA
rnacentral:misc_RNA from 1 species